UGAGUUAGUACGAGUUUGCUACCAUAUCACUAUGGGUGUACAUCUCGCCUAUUACGUCGUAGUCUUCGACGAACUCAAAAACUUGUUUUGGGUCUGCUUUCCUGCUUGAGAUGCUUUCAGCAGUUCUGCAUUCCGAACGUAGCUACUCAGCGAUGCCCUUGGCAGGACAACUGAGACACCAGAGGUUCGUCAUUCUCGGUCCUCUCGUACAAGAGAAUGCCACCCUCAAUUUUUACCACCCGAAAAAGAUAGGAUCCGUACUGUCUCACGACGUACUAAACCCAACUCACGUACCGCUUUCAUCGGCGAACAGCCGAACCCUUCGAACCUUCUUCAGCUCGAGGAUGCGAUGAGUCGACAUCGAGGUGCCAAACGACUCCGUCGAUAAGAGCUCUUGGGAGUCAUCAGCCUGUUAUCCCUAGCGUACCUUUGAUCCGUUGAUCGAGAGCCUUUCCACAAAGAACUCCCGGGUCACUAUGGCCGACUUUCGUCUCUGCUUGACUUGUAAGUCUUACAGUCAGGCAAGCUUUUACCAUUACGCUCUUCAGCUGAUUUCCGUCCAGCUUGAGCUUACCUUCGCACACUUCCGUUACUCUUUAGGCAAGGUUAGAAAAAUGAGAAAGAAAGGGUGGUAUUUCAUUGUUCAUCUCUUUAAAGGUCUAAAAAGAUGUCCCACCUAUUCUACACAUUCAAACUCUUUUUUCAGUGGUAAACUAUAGUAAAGGUGCAUAGGGUCUUACCGUCUACUUUCGGGAACUCCGCAUCUUCACGGAGAAUUCAAUUUCACUGAGAUCAUGUUGGAGACAGCGGGGAAGUCGUGACACCAUUCAUGCAGGUCGGAACUUACCCGACAAGGAAUUUCGCUACCUUAGGACCGUCAGAGUUACGGCCGCCGUUUACUGGGCCUUGCAUUUAGAGCUUGUUGAAACCCUAAGAAGCGAGUCUCAGAGUUGUCAACGCACCCCUCCUGUUAAGUUUCCAGCACCGGGCAGGUGUCAGACCCUAUACGUCGUGUUACCACUUAGCAGAGUCCUGUGUUUUUAGUAAACAGUCGCCACCCCCUCUUUUGUGACACAUAGAUUGCACUAUGUCCUCCUUUUUCCGAAGUUACGGAGGUAAUUUGCCGAGUUCCUUCAACAUGAUUCUCUCUAGGCCUUAGUUUUUUCAACAAGUCCACCAGUGUCGGUUUAAGUACGGUGCUUUUUUUCUAAAUUCUGAAAAUUUAGAAAACGAUUGAGUUGUUUCCUGGACCACUCUUCACCGAGAGUCACAAGAUAUCCGCUCACUUGUGCGGCAAACUACUGGCCGUCACUCAAUCUCACAUCAAUGAAUUUUGUACAUUGUACCCAUCAAGAAUGAGCUUUCGCUUUGCUCUUAGGGGCCGAUUCACUCGACAACGAAAAACGGUCUGUCGAAAACCUAGGACUUUUGGCCAUCAUGAUUUUCACAUGAUUUGUCGUUACUCAUGUCAGCAUUCUCACCUCUGAUAUCUCAACUCCAUUUGACAAUGAAGCGUCUUUGACUUACAGAACGUUCUGCUACCUUUUAAAUCAAAGUUGAUCUAAAAUCGCCGCUUCGGUGAAUAUCUUGAGCUCCGAUACAUUUUAGGUGCUCCUAGACAUAGACCAGUGAGCUAUUACGCUUUCUUAAAAGGAUGGCUGCUUCCAAGCCUACCUCCUGGUUGUCUUGGCCUAGGAACUUCCUUUACCACUCAGAAAUUGCUUUAGAACCUUAGCGUUCGAUCUGGGCUGUUUCCCUUUUGACUCGAGACCUUAGCGCCUCGAGUCUGUCUGUAUCCUGAAUAAAAAGGCAUUCGGAGUUUCCCUGGGAUCAGUAAGGCUUUGGGCCACCAUCACCCAAUGAGUGCUCUACCUCCUUUUUAUUUUGAAAUACGCUCUACCUCAAUAGAUUUCGCAGAAAACCAGCUAUUUCCAAGCUCGAUUGGCUUUUCACCCCAUAAUCACAAGUCAUCCCCAUCUAUUGCCACAGAUGUGGGUUCGGUCCUCCAAAACGUAUUAUCAUUUUUUCAACCUGCUCAUGAUUAGAUCGCUUGGUUUCGGGUCAAAUUCAUGAAACUUUUUGUCCAAUUAGUGUCAAAAAAUGAAAAAUUGAAAUUUUUCAUUUUUUGGCAGUCGAUUUAUGCUUUUCUUCAAGCUUGCUUUCACUCCGCCUCCGUUUAUGAACUUAAGCUGGCUUCAUAAAUUUACUCGCUGACCCAUUAUGCAAAAGGUACGCCGUCACUCUUAAAAAGAGCUUCGACUGCUUGUAAGCAUUCAGUUUCAGGAUCUUUUUCACUUCCUAUUUAGGAGUCUGUUUCACCUUUCCCUCACGGUACUUGUUCACUAUCGAUCAGAAGAAUAUAUUUAGGCUUAGAGGGUGGUCCCCCUUGAGAAGGUGCAAACAAAGUGAACCUUCACUUCAAACAAAGAUGGUCUUCGUUUUACUCAAUGAUUUUCAUUCUGUUUUCAAAAAAUGUUCGAAAAGUCUCCUUUUUGAAUGUCUACAGGGCUAUCACCUUCUUUGGCUUGUUAUUCCAAACAGCUUAAACCUCAAAAAGGAGAAAAAGAAUGAGGGCCUAAUCCGCUUUCGCUCACCACUACUCACGGAAUCUCGGUUGAUUUUUUUUCCUCUAGUUACUUAGAUGUUUCAGUUCACUAGGUAAUUUGUAAUCUGAGAGUUUCCUAAAGGGAAAUCCAUAGAUCUCAGGAUUGACGCACCUCUCUAUGGCAUUUCGUUGCGUUUAACGUCCCUUGUCUUCUUCUGUCUAGGCAUCCACUAAAUGCUCUU
rnacentral:rRNA from 1 species